AGUGCUGUAGUAAUGUAAAAUAAACCAAUUUCCGAAUUAAUGCUCUAAUUUGUAUUUUUUCACUACACCAUAUGUCCCAAUCAAUUGAUAUGUUAUAUUAUAUAUCAUUGUCUCGUGAGUUUAGCUCGGCUGAUAAGAAUAUCGGAAGUGGGAUUCAAACUCUGGACAGUCUAUUUAUUCGCCUUUAAAGUGAAAUGUUUUGCUACUAAGUGACUUGACAA
rnacentral:lncRNA from 1 species